AAUGCGAUAAGUAAUGUGCAUUGCAGAAUUCAGUGAAUCAUCGAAUCUUUGAACGCACCUUGCGCUCCUUGGUAUUCCUUGGAGCAUGCCUGUUUGAGUAUCAUGAAAUCUUCAAAGUAAAUCUUUUGUUAACUCAAUUGGUUUCUACUUUGGUAUUGGAGGUCUUUGCAGCUUCACACCUGCUCCUCUUUGUUCAUUAGCUGGAUCUCAGUGUUAUGCUUGGUUCCACUCGGCGUGAUAAGUUAUCUAUCGCUGAGGACACUGUAAAAGGUGGCCAAGGUAAAUGCAGAUGAACCGCUUCUAAUAGUCCAUUGACUUGGACAAUACUUUUAUGAUCUGAUCUCAAAUCAGGUAGGACUACCCGCUGAACUUAAGC
rnacentral:misc_RNA from 1 species